rnacentral:rRNA from 1 species
GAUGAACGCUGGCGGCGUGCUUAACACAUGCAAGUCGAACGGUGAAGCAGGAGCUUGCUCCUGUGGAUCAGUGGCGAACGGGUGAGUAACACGUGAGCAAUCUACCCUGGACUCUGGGAUAAGCGUUGGAAACGACGUCUAAUACCGGAUACGAGGCGUGGGGGCAUCCCCAACGCCUGGAAAGAACUUCGGUCCAGGAUGAGCUCGCGGCCUAUCAGGUAGUUGGUGAGGUAACGGCUCACCAAGCCGACGACGGGUAGCCGGCCUGAGAGGGUGACCGGCCACACUGGGACUGAGACACGGCCCAGACUCCUACGGGAGGCAGCAGUGGGGAAUAUUGCACAAUGGGCGCAAGCCUGAUGCAGCAACACCGCGUGAGGGACGACGGCCUUCGGGUUGUAAACCUCUUUUAGCAGGGAAGAAGCGAAAGUGACGGUACCUGCAGAAAAAGCACCGGCUAACUACGUGCCAGCCGCCGCAGUAAGAC